AUUGAACGCUGGCGGCAGGCCUAACACAUGCAAGUCGAACGAGUGGCGGACGGGUGAGUAAUGUCUGGGAAACUGCCCGAUGGAGGGGGAUAACUACUGGAAAAGGUAGCUAAUACCGCAUACCAUCGGAUGUGCCCAGAUGGGUGUAGCCAGUAGGUGGGGUAACGGCUCACCUAGGCGACGAUCCCUAGCUGGUCUGAGAGGAUGACCAGCCACACUGGAACGGAGACACGGUCCAGACUCCUACGGGAGGCAGCAGGGGGGAAUAUUGCACAAUGGGCGCAAGCCUGAUGCAGCCAUGCCGCGUGUAUGAAGAAGGCCUUCGGGUUGUAAAGUACUUGCAGCGAGGAGGCGUGACUCGCAGAAGAAGCACCGGCUAACUCCGUGCCAGCAGCCGCGGUAAUAC
rnacentral:rRNA from 1 species